GGUUGAUAUGGCUAGGCGGCCUGCUGGCGAGAUAGUGGGAGUGGGCGGUCCGCCCCUCAGGACCUCUGACUUGGACAGAUGACUGGAUGACUCUCUGGGGCAGCAUUCACCGGAACUCAUAUGGAGGGGACUGCCUGAGAAACCAACCUGUGUGCCUGGGUCAGGUUGAUAUGGCUAGGCGGCCUGCUGGCGAGAUAGUGGGAGUGGGCGGCCCGCCCCUCAGGACCUCUGACCUGGACAGAUGACUGGAUGACUCUCUGGGGCAGCAUUCACCGGAACUCAUAUGGAGAGGACUGCCUGAGAAACCAACCUGUGUGCCUGGGUUGGCGUUUUUUGCCUCUGGAAGGGCGGAGGGAGAUCGCCCAGCAGCCUGGCAG
rnacentral:lncRNA from 1 species